rnacentral:rRNA from 1 species
GAUGAACGCUAGCUACAGGCUUAACACAUGCAAGUCGAACGGAGUGGCGAACGGGGGAGUAAUGUAUCGGAACGUGCCCCGUACCGGUGGAUAACUACGCCAAAGCGUAGCUAAUACCGCAUACUAUUGGAGUGGCCGAUAUCGGGAUAGCUGGUUGGUGGGGUAACGGCUCACCAAGGCCACGAUCCGUAGCCGGUUUGAGAGGACGACCAGCCACACUGGGACUGAGCCACGGCCCAGACUCCUACGGGAGGCAGCAGUGGGGAAUUUUGGACAAUGGGGGAAACCCUGAUCCAUCCAUCCCGCGUGUGCGAUGAAGGCCUUCGGGUUGUAAAGCACUUUUGGCAGGAAAGCGGUACCUGCAGAAUAAGCACCGGCUAACUACGUGCCAGCCGCCGCGGUAAUAC